rnacentral:rRNA from 1 species
AUACCGAGGUGGCAAGCGUUGUUCGGAAUUAUUGGGCGUAAAGAGCACGUAGGUGGAUUUGUUAGUCAGAUGUGAAAGCCUUCUGUUCAACGGAAGAAUUGCAUCUGAAACUACAAACCUUGAGUAUAGGAGGGGAGAGUGGAACUUCUGGUGGAGCGGUGAAAUGCGUAGAUAUCAGAAGGAACGCCGGCGGCGAAAGCGACUCUCUGGCCUAUAACUGACACUGAGUGUGCGAAAGCUAGGGGAGCAAACGGGAUUAGAUACCCGAGUAGUCC